rnacentral:rRNA from 1 species
GCUCAGUAACACGUGGAUWACCUACCCUUAGGACUGGGAUAACCCUGGGAAACUGGGGCUAAUACCGGAUAGAUGAUUUUUCCUGUAAUGGUUUUUUGUUUAAAUGUUUUUUCGCCUAAGGAUGGGUCUGCGGCAGAUUAGGUAGUUGGUUAGGUAAUGGCUUACCAAGCCUAUGAUCUGUACGGGUUGUGAGAGCAAGAGCCCGGAGAUGGAACCUGAGACAAGGUUCCAGGCCCUACGGAGCGCAGCAGGCGCGAAACCUCCGCAAUGUGAGAAAUCGCGACGGGGGGAUCCCAAGUGCCAUUCUUAACGGGAUGGCUUUUCUUAAGUGUAAAAAGCUUUUGGAAUAAGAGCUGGGCAAGACCGGUGCCAGCCGCCGCGGUAACACCGGCAGCUCUAGUGGUAGCUGUUUUUAUUGGGCCUAAAGCGUUCGUAGCCGGUUUAAUAAGUCACUGGUGAAAUCCUGUAGCUUAACUGUGGGAAUUGCUGGUGAUACUGUUGAACUUGAGGUCGGGAGAGGUUAGCGGUACUCCCAGGGUAGAGGUGAAAUUCUGUAAUCCUGGGAGGACCACCUGUGGCGAAGGCGGCUAACUGGAACGAACCUGACGGUGAGGGACGAAAGCUAGGGGCGCGAACCGGAUUAGAUACCCGGGUAGUCCUAGCCGUAAACGAUGCGGACUUGGUGUUGGGGUGGCUUUGAGCCGUUCCGGUGCCGAAGGGAAGCUGUUAAGUCCGCCGC